rnacentral:misc_RNA from 1 species
CUCGCGGCCAAAAACCCUAAACCAUAACAAAAAAGUGGGGGAAGGGAAUUGAUGGUAGCAAUGGAGAAACGAAGUUUGAAUCUGUUGGAUGAGGCAUUGGGUUUGGAGCAGCAGACAGAUCCAUGGCCUUUGAGGGGGAAACUGCUUCUAAUAGAGGAUUGCGUCGAGACGAGUGGUUCCUUCGUGCUUCACCAUCUCGUAAAGCGAAUUCUCUUUCCCAAUUCUUCCAAUAUUAUCAUAUUCCUCGCAUUCUCUCGCCCCUUCUCGCACUACGAUCGUAUUCUCCGCAAACUCGUACCUCUCUCUCUCUCUUAUCUAUUAUAUACGUGAUAUUGUCUGCUUUAUGGGAAUGUAAGAUUAGGAAAUGGAGUUAGGAUUUAGAGGAUGUUUGUUUUCUCUCAUUGAAUCUGGUGGUUUAUGAUGAGUGAGAUGGUUAGAUAUGUUUAAUUAGGAAAGUGGCUUUGACAGGGCCAAUGGAUGAUUUCAGCUGAAAUCAUCAUGGGUUGGUAACUUAAUUCGCUUUGGUCAUGGGAUAUAAUUCACUUUAUAUGUUAUCUGGUGUGGAAGACCUUAACAUUGCUCAGGAUAGAAAAUGCUGUGGUGUUAAAUUAUAUGGAAUUGCCAGGGGGCCCUUUAAAAAAAAACCAAAAAACACUGUAAAAGUGAGAGGCAGUGAAUUUGUGGAAGCAUUGUGUUUUGUUCUCACUUCAUAGAAUUCAUGGAUUUCUAGGGAGAUUCUUCCUUUGAUGAUGUGUUGUGUAUUCUGAGUUUAGUUUGAGAAGAUGCUUUUGGAGUUCUUUUGGUCAUUAGCACAUAUCUGCAAGUUUGAGAGAAUGAAGCUCCUGGUGCAAUGUCUAAAAUCUUUCUUUACAAUUUUUACUUAUUUAUCUUUAUAUUGUCUUUUAAUUGCCUUAAGCAAUUUUGAAUUUAUAAACUGUAAAUGGAUCAUUUUUAUUUUUGAAGGGAGAAAAUGCCCUUGGUGCUCCUCAUUAUAUAUUUCUCAUGUAAUUGUAAUAGCAACACCUCUAUUUUUUUCUGUUAUAAUGCAGUGUAGCUUACUGGAAAAAAUAAAUUGGCAAAACUCUAAAUUGACCAUUUAAUUUCACAGGUCGAACUUUUAUAAUCAACGAUAUCUCAAUUUCUUUACUCCCUUCCAUGUCUCCAACAUAUGUUCCUUGUGAAGUUACCGAAUCACUUUUCCUUUAAAACCAAGCAUUUGGGAUUUUGGGUGAUUGGUUGAUCACUUUAUCUAAAUGAUUCCAUUCAUGGCCGCAUUGAUGUAUGUUUGAUAACAUUACUUGCAGUAACAGUAUUACUAUAUUAAAGUGAUAGUAUAAUCUUUGUUUUCUUUAACCAACUCCUUUUAUCAAUGUUUACAUGUUUUUAUUAGUAAUUUCUCCUUUUUCUUUUUCCCUUGUUGCUUGAUUUGGUGAUAAUAAUAUGGUUAAAAUCGGACCAAGUUUAAAUUUAAAGUAAGAUAAGUGUGACUUAUUUAAAAAAAAAA